GACGCAAGCUCGAUGGUUAGAGCACUGGUCUUGUAAACCAGGGGUCGUGGGUUCAAUCCUCAUAGUGGCU